GACGAACGCUGGCGGCAUGCCUAAUACAUGCAAGUCGAGCGAACAGAUGAAGUGCUUGCGCUUCUGACGUUAGCGGCGAACGGGUGAGUAACACGUAAGGAAUCUACCUAUAAGCGGGGGAUAACAUUCGGAAACGGGUGCUAAUACAGCAUAAUAUCUUCUUCCGCAUGGAAGAAGAUUGAAAGACGGCUCUGCUGUCACUUAUAGAUGACCUUGCGGUGCAUUAGUUAGUUGGUGGGGUAAUGGCCUACCAAGACGAUGAUGCAUAGCCGACCGUGGAGGGGGAUCGGCCACAUGGGGACGGGGACACGGCCCAAACUCCUACGGGAGGCAGCAGUAGGGAAUCUUCCGCAAUGGGCGAAAGCCUGACGGAGCAAUGCCGCGUGAGUGAAGAAGGCCUUCGGUUCGUAAAACUCUGUUAUAAGAGAAGAACAAAUUGUAGAGUAACUGCUACAGUCUUGACGGUAUCUUAUCAGAAAGCCACGGCUAACUACGUGCCAGCCGCCGCCGUAA
rnacentral:rRNA from 1 species